GGGGAAGGCCAUAGCUCAGUGGUAGAGCAUUUGCCUUGCAUGCCAAGGGUCUCAGGUAAAAUUCCUGGCUUCUUCA